rnacentral:rRNA from 1 species
GACGAACGCUGGCGGCGUGCUUAACACAUGCAAGUCGAACGAUGAAGCCCAGCUUGCUGGGUGGAUUAGUGGCGAACGGGUGAGUAACACGUGGGCAACCUGCCCCAAACUCUGGGAUAACUCCUCGAAAGAGGUGCUAAUACCGGAUACGAACUAGGUAGACAACUGCACUAGUUGGAAAGUUUUUCGGUUUGGGAUGGGCCCGCGGCCUAUCAGCUUGUUGGUGAGGUAACGGCUCACCAAGGCUACGACGGGUAACCGGCCUGAGAGGGCGACCGGUCACACUGGGACUGAGACACGGCCCAGACUCCUACGGGAGGCAGCAGUGGGGAAUAUUGCGCAAUGGGCGAAAGCCUGACGCAGCGACGCCGCGUGAGGGAUGAAGGUCUUCGGAUCGUAAACCUCUUUCAGUAGGGACGAAGCGAAAGUGACGGUACCUAAAGAAGAAGCACCGGCUAACUACGUGCCAGCAGCCGCCGCGG